GAUGAAGAACGCAGCAAAAUGCGAUAAGUAAUGUGAAUUGCAGAAUUCAGUGAAUCAUCGAAUCUUUGAACGCACAUUGCGCCCGCCAGUAUUCUGGCGGGCAUGCCUGUUCGAGCGUCAUUUCAACCCUCAAGCACAGCUUGGUGUUGGGACUCGCGUUAAUUCGCGUUCCCCAAAUUGAUUGGCGGUCACGUCGAGCUUCCAUAGCGUAGUAGUAAAACCCUCGUUACUGGUAAUCGUCGCGGUCACGCCGUUAAACCCCAACUUCUGAAUGUUGACCUCGGAUCAGGUAGGAAUACCCGCUGAACUUAAGCAUAUCAAUAAGCGGAGGA
rnacentral:misc_RNA from 1 species